rnacentral:rRNA from 1 species
UACGGAGGUCGCAAGCGUUGAUCGGAAUCAUUGGGCGUAAAGCGCGUGUAGGCGGUCUGGUCAGUCGGGUGUGAAAUACCGGAGCUCAACUCCGGAACUGCAUUCGAUACUGCCAGGCUAGAGUCCCGGAGAGGGUGGUGGAAUUCCCGGUGUAGAGGUGAAAUUCGUAGAUAUCGGGAGGAACACAAGCGGCGAAGGCGGCCACCUGGACGGUGACUGACGCUGAGACGCGAAAGCGUGGGGAGCAAACAGG